AUUGAACGCUGGCGGCAUGCCUUACACAUGCAAGUCGAACGGCAGCACGGGAGCAAUCCUGGUGGCGAGUGGCGAACGGGUGAGUAAUAUAUCGGAACGUGCCCAGUCGUGGGGGAUAACGUAGCGAAAGCUACGCUAAUACCGCAUACGAUCUAUGGAUGAAAGCGGGGGAUCGCAAGACCUCGCGCGAUUGGAGCGGCCGAUAUCAGAUUAGGUAGUUGGUGAGGUAAAGGCUCACCAAGCCGACGAUCUGUAGCUGGUCUGAGAGGACGACCAGCCACACUGGAACUGAGACACGGUCCAGACUCCUACGGGAGGCAGCAGUGGGGAAUUUUGGACAAUGGGCGCAAGCCUGAUCCAGCAAUGCCGCGUGCAGGAUGAAGGCCUUCGGGUUGUAAACUGCUUUUGUACGGAACGAAACGGUGAGCUCUAAUACAGUUUGCUAAUGACGGUACCGUAAGAAUAAGCACCGGCUAACUACGUGCCAGCCGCCGCGGUAA
rnacentral:rRNA from 1 species